rnacentral:tRNA from 1 species
GGCCUCGUAGAUCAGCUGGCAGAGCGUGCGCUGUACAAAAGCGUAGGUAGCGUCCAUGCGUGGGUUCGAACCCCACCGAGGCUA